AUCCCAGCAACAGAGAAGCAAAGUAGAACAAACCCCAAAGAGGCUCAAACUCAGGACCCAGAGGACAACCAGGAAGAAGCAGCAACAGAGUCUAAAUACUGAACUCACUGAGAACAAGGGCGGUCCCACUCACCUGGGAAUGUCCCAGUGUCAAGCCCAGUGCCUGGAAUUCAGGAACUCUAGGCAACGUUUAUCAAAAGGGAAGAAGGAAUUAUCACUCUUAGCCAGGGGCCUGCUGAGUAGAUGCCAAGUUGCUGAUCAAAGUAACCCUUUAAACAUAAAAGCCCUGAAUAACACACUACCUGGCCAGGUGUUCAGUGAAUGGGUACGGGCAAGAACCAACCUUUGUCUUCUUGUAGUUCAGGACCCACCCAUCUCAACUCUGGGG
rnacentral:lncRNA from 1 species